ensembl:lncRNA
UGGGUAUUUGCUACCAUACCCAGCUCCUGCAGCGGAACCACGGAGCUAAAUCCCCAGCAGGAUAACAUCAUUUUAACAGAGAAAAAGGAACAAAGAAAAGAUGAGAGAAAGGGUGUGCCAAAAAUGGAAAGCUCGGUAUUGAGGGGCCAACCUGUGACAGCCAGCCCGACUCCAUCUUGAGCCUCACCACCAUUUUGUGCUUGUGCUGCACAAAGCACCCCAAACCCACAUCCCGUUUGGCAGAAAACUUGCUGCAGCUGCAGGAUGUUUUGUAGAUCACCCAGUGUGUGAAACUUCCUCUUGUUCCCACUAACCUGGUGUGGUUCUGCUUCUGAAAAAUUCCCCUUGCCCUUCCCUGAGUCCUCCCCAACUGAAAGCAUGGGUUAAAAGGAGAAACCAAACCACUUCUCAGGGCCCACAGUGCUUCCCGGGCAGUAGCCCCUGUUGGUCGCUGGCUUUAAAUAAACGGACUUGACUGCACCUUUUCAUUCCUGUAUCAGCAAAGGGGAGGGGGAAGUGGGAAGGGAAAGAAGGGAAUGGAGUUAACAUGAGAAAAUGAAAACAUGGAAACAAAGCCUUUGUUAAUAGAGAGGGGUGGAGGGGUUGAAGGGAGGGCAGGGGAGUGGGGAAAACAUGGGAACCAACAAGAUCCCAAUUAUGUGUGUAACUGUAUUGUAUGCCUAAAAUGUACCAAUAAAUUUAAUGGAAAACAAAAAGUUCUUAGGGAAAUGUUAAAAAAAAUUAAUAAACGGAC